UGGCUCAGUUGGUAGAGCGUGGUGUUUGCAACGCCAGGGUUGUGGCUUCGAUUCCCAC
rnacentral:tRNA from 1 species